GUUCUGCGGAGGCUCCAGGCAGAGCUUUCGAGGUGGUACUAAAAUCUGCAAUGGAAAACAGAUGCACAGUGUGUCGAGGCGAGUAGAGUCGAGCAGGUACCAUGUAAUGGAGAAACGCCAUAAUUAAUAAGUCCUCAUGUAGAGAACGCUCCAACACUAACGCUUACAGACCCAUAGCUUAUCUUUGAAGUGUUUGGCUUAGGUUCUAGUGAAGGUUUAGCUAGUAACGUUAGUAUUACGGAAUUCCUCGUCGCUAUAUGCAGUAUGUCCAUUUAAUGAAAAUUCACAUAAUUGGUCAAAGUUAAUAAAGUCAUUCGGUUGUUGGGGACAACAUAUUUAUCACGAAGGUUCAACAGGCGAAAAUAUAGAACAAAUACAGUUGUGUCAAGGAGACAUUUUCAAUGUACAGAGGGGAUGGACUCCCGCCGUAAAGUGGUAUGGACAUUAGUGCCCAAUACUGAUGAAAAUAAUAAAGUACAAAUAAAUUAAAUGACAGUGACAUUCCUGUCUUUAAAUUAUUAUUUUUUAUUAUUAAAAGGUCACAUUGAAUUUGUAUUUUAUGUGUCUUUGUCACAGAAAACUACAAAGUAGUAGUCCAGAAGCGUUUUGCUUUCCUCAAGGUGGGGGUAUAUGGUCUUCCUUCAGUCAGUCUGGCCAGGAGAAAGGGGUGGUGAAGCAAGGAAUGACCUCUGGUUCACAGAUGGCCAAGAUGGGCAAACAGCUCAAGAGGGACCUCAAAUGGCAACCUACAAGACAACUCAAUUCUACUCCUGCUAGAUAUGAGUCUGAUUCCGACGACACAUGUUGUGAUAUUUUUAAUCCACCCAAAAAACGAAAAAUGGUGAUUAACACCAGUGAGGAGGAGGAGGACACCAUCCCUCAGGCGGAGUCUCAGCGGCCAGGGACAGUGCCUGCAGUUUUUGUUGAACUGGAUGAGGACAGUUUGAAGGCUCUAAAAGAGCUGCCAGGACUGGUGUCUUCACUCAAAACAGUCCUAAACAAAAUGGAAGAUUCACCUUUGUCUUCCAUGAUUUCCAGCCAAAGCGAAUCACCACGCACUGGCAGUCACACUGGCAGUGAAGAAGACAUGGUGUCAUUGGGCAGCUCAUUAGUGCAAGUCCCAAAACGCCUCUAUCAGAGGCUGAGUUGGAGGAGGAUGUCCCUCUUCACACAGGAGCUGGCCACAUUGGUGUUUGGCAGGGAAACUUUGGCCAAGGCAACCCUCACAGGGAAAGGAAAAAAAGGCAAGCUGAAGGAGCAGCUUGAGCCACAAAAAAAACAAUGCAAUUAUAGGUACAGUAAUGUCAUAGUUAUGAAUCCAAGUCCAUUGUCAUGAUUGAUUAACAGAUCCAUUAUCAUCAAUGAUUGUAUUUCAAUGUUAUACAUUGUCUAUCCUGUUUUAAUUCAUGCCCAUGUCUCUUUCCUGUUUUCACAGAUGCAGUGAGGGAGCGAUUCCCCAACACUGAGGUUGCAGAGAUCCAGGCCCUUCUACGGAGGAAGUGCAACAAUGAGAGCUACAAGGCCUCUAGUAAUUCAAGUCAGAGCUAGAUAUUUGCAUGUUUAGUAAGUUGUUCGCCAUUGUUCUGUUCCCGGAAUUUUAGAGAAAGUCGACUAUUCAAGGUUCCUCCUUUUGCCAGUGUGUUACUUUUGUGUCAAUAAUAAA
ensembl:lncRNA